rnacentral:rRNA from 1 species
CACGAAUUCGUGUGAGCUAACUCAUUUAUAUUUUAUGUGGCAUAAUAUUUACUAAAUUUGAGUUAGGGGUGAUAGGCUUCUCAAAAACGACGAUAUCUUGAAGUAAGCGAAAAAGAUUGAGUUUUAAGGUGUUUACAAAGUUACAAGAUUUUGUAAGAAGUUCAACAUUUUUAAUUAUGAGACGUUGGCGUAAAACCCUGCGUGAACAGAAUAUCAAUAUCAAAUGUGUAAGGUUUAUUUAAUUAGUUUACGGUAACAUAACUCCAGGACAAUCAUUAUGUUAGUAUAAGUACUAAGGAGGUAUUGAUAGUGAACUUGGCAAUAACGCUUUCAACUGUUUAUCAAAAACAUAGCCACAUGUUUUACAUGUGGUGUGUUCUGCUCAAUGAUAUUUAAAUAGCCGCAGUACCCUGACUGUGCAAAGGUAGCGAAAUCAUUUGUCUCUUAAUUGGAGUCGUGUAUGAAUGAAUGCAUGGGGGCUUACUUUACCAUUGAUAUAGUUAGAAAUUGUUUAAGAGGUGAAAAUACCUCUAGCUAAAAAACAGACGAGAAGACCCUUGAAAUUUGUAGUAUUGUUUUGUUGGGGCAACAUAAUAGAUAAACCUAUUAAAUGUACAUGAAAUUUAUUUGAUUGACUAAAUUACUCUAGGGAUAACAGCAUAAUUCUGAGUGAGUUUGUGACCUCGAUGUUGGAUUAGGGAACUAUAACUUAAAA